rnacentral:rRNA from 1 species
GAUGAACGCUGGCGGCGUGCUUAACACAUGCAAGUCGAACGGAAAGGCUCCUGCUUGCAGGGGUACUCGAGUGGCGAACGGGUGAGUAACACGUGGGUGAUCUGCCCUGCACUUCGGGAUAAGCCUGGGAAACUGGGUCUAAUACCGGAUAGGACGAUGGUCUGGAUGCCAUUGUGGAAAGUUUUUCGGUGGGGGAUGAGCUCUCGGCCUAUCAGCUUGUUGGUGGGGGAAUGGCCUACCAAGGCGUCGACGGGUAGCCGGCCUGAGAGGGUGAACGGCCACAUUGGGACUGAGAUACGGCCCAGACUCCUACGGGAGGCAGCAGUGGGGAAUAUUGCACAAUGGGCGCAAGCCUGAUGCAGCGACGCCGCGUGGGGGAUGACGGCCUUCGGGUUGUAAACUCCUUUCGUCAGGGACGAAGCGAAAGUGACGGUACCGGGAUAAGAAGCACCGGCUAACUACGUG